UACGGAGGAUCCAAGCGUUAUCCGGAAUUACUGGGCGUAAAGAGUUGCGUAGGUGGCAUAGCAAGUAGGUAGUGAAAGCGUUCGGCUCAACCGAAUACACAUUACCUAAACUGCUAAGCUAGAGAAUGGUAGAGGUUACUGGAAUUCCCGGUGUAGGAGUGAAAUCCGUAGAUAUCGGGAGGAACACCAAUGGCGUAGGCAGGUAACUGGGCCAUUUCUGACACUAAGGCACGAAAGCGUGGGGAGCAAACGGG
rnacentral:rRNA from 1 species